GGAUAGCUCAGUCAGUAGAGCAUGAGGCUCUUUAUCUCAGGGCCAUGGGUUCAAGCCUGUUAUGUACU